AAAACUAAGGAGAUAUGAAUAAAGUAUGGACUUUAGUUAAUAAUAAUGAAUCAAUAUUGGUCCGUUAACUUUAGCAAAUGUACCAUAAUAACUUAAGGUGUUAUUAAUAGGGGAAACUGAGUGUGAAGUCCAUGGGAAUUCUGUAUUACUUCAUAAUUUUUCUGCAAAUCCAAAACUGCUCUAAAAUAGAAAGUUUAACAAAAGUUAUACAAAUACAAAUGUAUUGUGCCACUCAUGUUUCAGUUUAACAAAACAAUUACUGUUCAUGCUUUCACUCUAUUCAAUGUAAGCUGUGAUGAGAAGAACAAAUCUGACAACCCAAUUGAACUACAUCCUUCUGCAGAGACUUCUCAUUAGAUUUUUAACCUUACUAGGUACAAAUUAGGUUAAAUUAGGUAAGUAAACUUGACAAAACAUAAGCUAAUUCUAUACUUGUUUUUAUAUGCAUUAGCUUCAUUCUCUAUGUAUUUUUCUUUGUUACAAAUCAAGUGUAUUGUUGAAGACAUAUUUCAAAGAUUAAGAUGUCCUGCUUUAAAGGAUAGGUGAAAACCUACUGCAGAAAAUCCCAUUUUUCUUCCAUCGGGAGUUAUUUUCUCUUCACUUUUGUAAAAUUGCUGGCUUUGGACUCAAACAAGACUUUUUCUUUUCCCUUCACAGCAGAUCUUGUCCACCUACUGUGUAAAGAAAUUAAGGUUCCACUCUCUAUUGUGAAGUCAUAAUGAUAAAUUUGUGUCACCAUCAUUGUUUCUGUGGCAGCAGACUAAUGUUAGAAAAGUGAUCAGGACCACUCCCGAUGCAUGGCUUCCCCAUCUCUUCCUGGGUAGGCCCUCUUGGGGAAAUAUCCCCACCUCUGUACCCAUGAUUGAGUCUUUAGGCAUAGAUAUCUUACUAAAGGAAUUUUUUGCUACCCUCCAUUCUUAGGGUUGUGACUUUCAGAGGAGAAAAUUCUCAGAACAGAUUAAAGCAGGUUAAACUCCAAGUUGCCAAUUUUCAUUGCAUAAGAAAUGAUUUCAUCAAGAACAUUGUGAUGAUACUCUUUAAAUAUUUAAUUGAGUAUGUAUUUAUACUUUCUAUACCCUUAUGUUAAAUAUCCUGUUACAGGAAAUGUUAAGAGUGGGAGAAAGGAAAAGGAUCUACUUAGUCAUUUCCUUUAGGCUUAAACUAUUUUCCAUCUUGAAAACACAAAUAGUAACAAUAUUCCAUGGUGCCUAACUUCUUUAGAAAAUCAUAUAUAAAAAUAUACAUAUAUAUGUGUGUAUGUGUGUAUUAUAUAUAUAGAAAUGUUCUUGGGUACCAUUUAAAUUUCUGGUUAUUUUUUCUUUAUAGUACAUUUGAAUGUUCCAAGUACAACCAUCAUUUUAUUUAACAACCAUUUAUUAAGCAACUACUGAGUUCCAAGUGCCACUGUAGAUAUACAUAAACAAAUAAAAUACAGUCCUGUCUUUUCAUAAAGGCUUUUAAUCUAGUGAGAUGGGGGUUACUGGGUUGAGUAGUGUCUCUCCAAAAUUAAUAUCUAUCUGAACCUCACAAUGCAACCUUAUUUGGAAAUAGGGUCUUUGCAGAUUUAAUUAAUUAAAUUAAGAUGAGGUUAGACUGGAUUAGGGCGAGCCAGGAAUGCCAAGGAUGGUGAGCAACUAUGAAGAGCAGGAGAAGGAAGGAAGAACGCCCUUACAGAGCUUUCAGAGAGAGCACAGCUCUGUAUAACACCUUGAUUCCAGACUUCUGGCUCCAGAAUGAUGUAUUUGAACUAAAAAAAAUAAAAACAUCUAAACCUACUUUAUGACUGCUAUAUAUUGACAUAAAAAGGAAACCAAACGGACAACAAAAGACACCAGGAAAUUGGAACUUCUUAGAUAAACAUAUGGCUUCUUCCUGCAGAGCAUCCCCUCAGUAAAUCAUGGCACCUGAAUCUCCAUCUUGGACUCUGCUUCUGAAAACUCAACAUGAAACAGUAUAAGUCCAGAUUCUAAGUUCAUAGAGCUAUGAAGAUAUUGUGUGCAGAGGAAGAACAUUUCCUGUUUGAGUGGACUUCAUUGCCCAUCCAUGCUGUGACAGUAUUGGGAAGGAAAAUGGGCAUGCCUGAUUCAAGUGAAUGAUUGCAAUGUACCAUAGCACUUUUGUCUUUUGUUCCUUUUCUGCAUGUAUACUUGGUUGGGUUGCUUUUGUUCUGUAUUUGUUCUUAAUCUUUUAAUGUAUAAAAGUUGACUCUUAAGCUUAAAGAAAUCAUUUAUUUAGCCAACUCAGAGUUCUUUUAUUCUAAUUUAAAUUUUUUGUUUUAUGAAGUUGGUCUAGUGUAUUUGAUGGAUUUUAAGAGGACUCUAUCUCAUAGUUUCUAUUAUAACUUUAUAUUGGUUAUAGUCGGUUAAGAAUUUAAUCUGUCUCUUGCAUUUUAUUAGCAAACUGUGUGAAUUAUCUUCACAAUAUGCAGGCUUGCUUCUGUCUGGUCAGUUAUUUCUCUUAGGAAGUAAAACACCUCUUGAGAACUUCGUCAAUUGCUUUUUUAUUUUUAGUCUACAUUUUUUAGUAAUAACAUUAUAAAAACUUCAAUGAAGAUAUAGUAUUUAUUACAUUCUCUUGAGCCUAAACUCUCUUGAGUGCAUUUAUUUAUUGGAUUUAUAUACUACUUUCUCAUGGAAUAGUUAGAUUUAUAUUUCAGUCAGUUUUCUAUUUUCACACAUUAUGUUAGAAAUACACAUUGCCUUAAUUAAAAUGACACCACAAGGUGGCUAUGCCUUUUUUGGAGGACAAUGUUCUUUCUUUAUUGCUUAGAAUAACCCAAGAAGUUACUGAUAAAUCAGAUAAAAACACACAUUUACUACAUUAUAUUAUUGGUUUAUCUGACUAAUAUUAAUAUAUUAUCAUAUUUUCUUUUUUGAAUUGCCAUCAAGUAUGUUGUCUGAUUUAACAUUUUUUUAUUUUACAGUUUAUUCUGUGAAUUUCCAGUUAUAACUAUAUAUACAAAUAUCUUCUUAUGUAUUCAACAAUCUUAUUAAUAAACAGGUAGAAUUAUGUAUUUUUACUUUUCUCAGUUUCUUAAAUAUAAAAUGGAGAGAAUAACAAAAAUUACCUCAUAGAAUUGUAGAGAGGACACAGUCUGGCAGGUAGUGAGCACCCACUAAAUGCAAGCUUGACUGUUACGCGUCAUGGAUGUCACAGGCCCAGCAGUCCUGUGUUCAGGUCUGUAUACACAGCGUAAAUGGGUCACUGACAUAUCACAGUGCAUCUGAAGAAGUGAAAGCAUCUGGAAGUCUUAUCACCUAAAGACUGGCUAAAGGAAAGGGCACUAUUCUGUGGAAGGAAGAUUAGAUUUUGCUCUGAGCGUCCAUAAAGGCCAGGACGAGAACCAAUAAGUGGGAACUAUGGGAAGACAGCCUUUGUUUCCAUAUACGGAAAAAUGUCAGCCUGACUCAGAAGGCAGUGAGCUCCUGUCACUGGGGACGUCCAGUAAAGCAGGAAGACUGCCUAUCAGAGAUAUCGUAAAAGUGAUUCCUCAACUGCCUGGGAAGUUUGACCAGACAAAUUCAAGAUUCCUUACAGCUAUAAUAAUAAAAACAAUAAAAACUAACGCUCGCUGCAUGUUAAUUACGUGGCACUGUGUGAAGCGCCUUAAGAGUAUUACCUUACUGAAUCGUCACAACUUCAGUAGAUAAGUACUAAGAUAAGCAAUCCCAUUUUAUCUAUGGGGAAAUAAUGGCUUAGAUUCUGCCUUCAAGGACCUGGAAGCCCUUAACCAAUAGGUUAUACUGCCUUCCAGGACAUGAUAAUUCCGACUUGGGUCUUCUCAACAAUACCAGUGAAGUUGGACAUCCCAUCCUUUUUUUUUACAUUGUAACCCGGUCCUACGAUUUGGAAUUCUUUCUCUAUCACUCAAAAUAUGCAAGGUUACACCAUAUUAACAAACAACUCCUAAAUCUUCCUGUCUUCAUACAAAGGUUUCUUUCUCAUUCACUCACAUGUUCAUCACGGCUUGGCUCGGGGACCUGCUCCACAUCCCCUAAUACUGGAUCUGUGUUGAUGGAGCAGCCACCACCUCAAAAGAUGUCAGUGACCCAAGCAAAGGGAAAAAGAGAGAUCUGAAGGGUGCUCACCGGCAGCUAAACGCUCAGGUAAAGAAGUGACACAGAUGCCAUUUUUACUCACAAGUCACUGGUCAGAACUAGUCACUUGCAAUCCUAUGAUAGCUCAGAAGGUGGAGAGCCAGAAGUAUUUGGUAAGUGGAACCAAUGACUACCAUAUUUUCACUGCAAAGUUUUCACAUUCUGUCAUUCAAAAGCUACUGCUACCUCACAGCUUCUCAAGAUAUUUUUCCCAAUUCAUAAAAGAGACGAAACUUUCUGUGAUAACACAAUAUAGUGAUGGUAUUGCUCCUUUAUUCCUCUCUCACGGUAUUUAUACCUCUUCUGAAAGUGUAGGGUUUCUUCUAGUGAAUAAAAACCAAUUAAGACAUAAAAUACCUCAAGAAUAUGGUAGAACCUAUCCACUCCUGAAACAAUCCACUUGAGUAGAGGUAAUGACACAAUUUGAAUGUAUAGGCUUUUCAAAAGCAUAGACUGAAUUUCUAUCCAUCUCAAUAGUUUUAAGUGAAGACAUAUUUUUCAUUAAAGUGGUUUAUUUUUGUUUACAGAUCAUCUAAAUCACUAAAUAUAUUCUCUUCCAAAUGACCUCUACUUUCAACACCAAUUUACAAAAGACUUCUGCCUUGGGACACAAAAGACUUUUGUUUGUUCCAUUUGGACUGACAUUGCUUUAGGAUAAAAGCCAUUCCCUUACUCUGGAAGUUUCCAAUGAGAAGGCAAAGGCUGCCACUGUGCAGGAGCAGUCAGUCCUCUAGGCUCUUUUCCUAAACUACCGCUUCCUUCCUCUAAACGCUCUUGGCUUUAAAAUUCCCUAGAACACUAAGAAGUAGUGUUCUCUUGAACCCACUCAAUUAAAUAAGCGAUUACUUUGAAAUUUAGAAUUAACCAUAACCCUAACUCCAACCCCAAGAGCUAUGGCUUUUCUGGAAUGAGUCACCCCCUCCAAAGAUACAAUCCAAAUCUUUCUCUCUACAAUAUCAGAAGAGUGAAUUUCUUUGGUUAUGAGCUGUCACAACCAUCUCAGCACUGAUUCAUUUCCCCAGUCCUUUAUUCCAAUACAGAGUUUCAACGCCUCCCUCUCAAAAAGAUAGUUUGAUCACCUUAACAUUAUUGCAAUUUAUAACAAUGAAAAUUUUAAAUCAAGAGGAUCCUUUCUUUGUUUAAAGAAAAAAGUUUAGAACUAAAAAGAUUAUACCUUCAUUUGAAUGAUAUAAAUUAGAAAUAGUUCAAAAUGGAAAUCUUUGUCUUUGGGUUUGGAGGCACAUUUCUUGAGAAAGUGUUGAGGACUUUUUUUUUUAAGUCAUUUCCAUUUUAGCACCAGAGACUGUGAAGCUAGGAAACAUAUGGAAGGGGGAAAAAUCUAAUGGCAAUUUGGUGUAAUAGCACUGUAACCUUGGAUUUGUGUGCUAGUCUCUUUGGUGAGCUAAACUACAGGUCAGACUCUUCUAGGAACCAUGCUUCUUUUGACAUUUUAAAGGUCACAGUUAUUUUCAUUUUGUGAAUAUGAUAGGUUAUAUUAUUUCUUUUGAAUUCUAGAAGCCUUAGUACUUUUUCAAGAGGGAAUGUGGUUACUAGAAUCACUUUAAUAUGAGUACUGAUAAUCUAACUUCUCAUCUGGAAAUAGAGAUGGGGAAAAAAGUUCCCAUUACUUGUUUUUGACUCUAGAUCAUAGAAUUUAUUUUCACUAAACGUAUUACAUAAGUUUAAGAUUUUACUAUAACUUUAUCUGGUUGGCUUUAAUCUACCAGCAAAUUGUUUUCUUUACUCAACUUUCAAUUCAAUGUGUAAAUACAAAGUGCCUAUUAUGUGUAAAGCACAACACUGUAUAUAACUGAGAAUCAAUGGAACCCCUGACCCCAAGAAGUUUAUAAUCUAGUAGAUGGGCAUGUAAACAAACAAGCAUAAUACAAAGAAGCAUGUGAAAAAUAUUAUAACGAAACCACAAGUGCCUUGGUGCAUAGCACCUAGAUCAUUUUCAGCUAGGGAAGUGGGGGCCAGCUUUGUGGAAGAGUGGCAUAUGACCUGGGUUGGACCUUAAAGGUGGGUAGAAUUUGGGGAGACAGACUUGGGAAGGAAGAGCCCUCUGAAAGGGGAAAAUAUGAACAAGCAGGGAGUGUGCUUGGGAAAAACCAAGUAGUCUUGCUUGGCUGUAGUGUAGGGCACGGCAAAGAAGAAAAGGGAAAGAAAAUGCAAACUGUAGAUUCCCAAAGCCACACAAUGCUCAAGCCAGAAGAGACCUCAGUGACACUUUAUCUAUCUCUUAUUUUUACAGAUGUGGAAAAUAAAAGCUUCUUUUCACACAUUCUUAUUUUUAUGUUCCUUGUUUUAGAUACUUCUUUUUAAUUUGAUUAUGUGGCCCAUUUUUCAUUAACAGGCUCAACUGUAAUUUCAAUUCAAGUAGCUUGAAUGCAAGUUAACAGAUUCAUCUGUGAAAUACACAUGUGUAUGAGAAACAAUUACCACAUUUUUCUUUUUCCAGGCCUCACAGCCAAAAUUUGAGGAGGGUAAAUCCUUUUCCUUAAACAUAACAGGUUAAAUUCAUAAAUUUAUUUGGCUUCAUGAGGUAAUGAGGCUAAUAUACCCUUAAAUUUCAUAAAACAAGUUCUUCAUUUUGAAUAUUCUUAUAUUUCAGGACAAUGCCACAAAAGAAUUAACAGCAUUAGUUCCAGCAUUUUACCUGACAGGUGCCUGUCCUUUAGGUUUGCUCCUAGAGACGUUGCCUGCUAUCCCCAAAUCUCCAAGUCCUAGUAGACACUGAGCCCUGUCCCCAUUUUCAUCCUCCUAACACUAAAUUGUUUUCUUAAACUCCAACACAAACAAGCAAAACAAAGGGAAAAUCUUUCCCACUCUCAUCUCUUAAAAUUGCACGAAAUCUGUCCUUUCAUAUUUUGGUUGCAGUGUCCUCCUCUAUAACGCUGUUCUUUUCAAGUGUGUCUCCCUGUGAAAACUCACAGGCAGCUAAGCCUGUGUUUCUAUUCACUUUGACAAGAGCUCUUUCCACCGUGGUCUUCACAAACUCAACUCUCCAGCUCCUGACAUACAGGAAAACUAAAUAACCCAGUAAGCUCUCUAAAAUAGCCAAGAUAAAGUACAAUGACCAUUCUCAUCUUUAAAAGAAGUUAGAAGCUUGUCACUGUCAUUGCAACAGCUUUAGCUUUGCAGCUACUGAGAUUUGCAGCAGCAUCUCUUUGUCCAAAGGCCUACUGGUGCCUUUCUGUGCUGUUACUCCCAAAGUCAUCUCCCCCUCCACUGUUUUCAAGGCUCACUGUAGAACACAAAUCAGGUCUUGUCUUACUGCUUCUAACAGUCACUGGCUUUCAAGGUCAGUCACCUCUUGUUUGGAAAAGCCAGAGUUCUUUAUUUUGAGAGCCAGCCUUUGGUUUGCCUCUACACAGCAGUAGCUUGUUCUUCACAGCGUUCUUUGUGAAAGAAUCUUCAGACAGGAGCCAGUCCCUGCUGUUAGCAUAAAAGCUGUGCAAUAUUGAUAAAGACAGAUUUCAUCUGAGCCCUCUACCCCCAUACGCUUAAAGUGCUUUCCUGUAUGUUCAGGUGUUACAUGCUCUGAAUAUUACCAGAAGCUAAUUUCAGCUAAGUCUUCAAGCCUAACCGUCAAAUUUAAUAAAGCCACAUGCAAACUAGAAGGUCCUCAUAUUAAUUGGAUAAAAGGCCAAUAAUAAUUUGUUACUAUUCACCAGAAGGGAUGUAAACCAUCCCCUCAGCAGAAAGAAACAUCCCAUUACUGACUGAAGCUGUUUAGAAUUCUACAUGUCCACGCGUACUACAGACAUAUAUGAUUUUUAAAGGGGAAGUAAAAAAUACUUAACGUUGCCUGCAACAUGAAGGUAGAGACAAACCCAAAGGAAAAGAUAUAUUUCCUGAUGAGAAGUGAAAACUUCAAGAAACUGAAGUAAAAUGAAAGUAUUUAUCCAUUAUAGUAGCAUCACUGUGCCAACCCCUCCCACCUGUAGUACAAUAAAGUAAUCAUUCUCUAUUAGACGCAUUAACAGUUCUUCCAUUCACUCAUUCAUCCAACAAAUAUGAACUGGACACUUACUAUGUGCUAGAGAUUAUGCUAAACACUAGGGAGGUAUUGGCGAAAAAUAUUAACACAAUCGCUGCCCACACAGAUUACAGUUGGUGGUGAAUUAAAGUAAAAAUUUAUUUUGAAAUGUAAAAUGAUACAGGAAGAGGAAAUUGGACAGAACUCUGAAGUGCCUCAGAUUUAAAGGAUAGGCAGGGAAGUGACAUGGAAAAGGAUGACAAGACAAGAAAUGAAAAAACAGGAGAACUGGCGAUCUCCUUUCACACCAAAGUCCUAGAUUUCAGAUAAAUUGCAGUAUCAUAAAAUGCUGAGCCACAAGAAAUUAAGGGAAAAUCUUCAAUGGCAAAUUAAAGUGAAAGCUAAAUCAAGAAAGAAUAGGACAAAUCUCAAUACCAGGAAACUAGACCUUGGAUUGCAGAGGAGAAUAGGUGUUAAGGUCUGGGAGCUGUGUCCUGGGAAGGAUAACCCUGAGCCCCACCUAGAAUUGCAACACUCAAAAGUGAAGUGCUGUUUGGAAAACAUAGGCUAGAAAACUUCCACAUAUCAACAGAGGCAACCGAAGAGGAAAUCUGUCUGAGUCCAUCAUGGCUCUGCGCAGGGGGAAAAAAAAAAGCAUAGCCUUUUCUGAAAACCUGUAUAUAAAGUUUAUUCUUUCACAAGAAUCUGAGGUUUAAAUGACACUGCUCUUACAGAGAAGGUCGUGGAUGUCCAUGGUAUCUUGCAGAAAUAAACUCAAAUCCUCUUUGGAUAAAAGGAUCCUCAACUCAGGUCCUUUAAUUAACUAAUUAAUUAAUCCCACAGAUUAAUUUUAGCCAAAAACAUGCUCACAUUAAAAAAUGAACAUAAACUCAAGAAAAUAAGCCAGCAUGGCAAGAGUCGGCAGAAACACAAAAAACUACAGAACCUUGAGACUUAAGAUAUCAGACCUAACAGGUACAACAUAAAUAACUAUGCAUAAGAUGCCUAAAGAAAUAAAAGAUGGGAUUUAAACUCGAGAAAGGAACAAGAACAAUCAAAAAUGAUCAAACCAAAUUUGAAGAAAAAACAAAACUAAAUAGAAUGGGGUUAAAUAUUUUAUGUUGAACCCUCCAGGUCCAACCUCUCCACCCUUUUCCACCAUGCUCUGUUCCCUCUGUAUUUAUCUGACCUGUGUCUAUCAUCACAUCAAUCAUAUUAUGACACCUGGCUUCUGGCUGGGUUUGGCCAAUGCAGAGCACAGGCAGGAUAUCGGAAGGAGAAGGAGGGUGAGUCUGAAUGUUUAUAACCUUGGCUCCUUCUCUGUGAGGUCCCCAGGUCUGGCUGUGCCUCUUGACAGGUCACACUGCUCCUGCUCUACACAAACUUCCCUUCUCCCAGUUUCCAGUAACCUCUCCUUCUCUGGCAGUUCUGUUGAUGUUAUUCUUGAGUUUCUGCACUCUUGCUUGUGGUUCCCCUUUAUCCUAACCAGAAAGGGCAAUUAGACUGACAGUAAAAUUCUCAAUAGCAACAAUAGAAGCCAGGAAACUAUGGAACAAUACCUUCAAAGUGCUGAGAGAAAAACUGUCAACUCAAAAUUGUAUAACACUAUUAUUCAAUAGCAAACCCAAAAUAAAG